CAGAUGUUGCACUGCGAGGGCAUGUCAUUCAAUUGUAUUGCUGAGCUCGUGUCGCGGAAGCUUAUGCGCACUCCUGUUGCGAGGAGUUUGGAUCCGGUCGAUGAUACAUUUCUUGCAUGGGCUCGUGCUUGUGUUGAGGCUAGAGACGAGCUGCAGUGCUCGGGCGUCCUAUGCACGUAGUUUUGAUCCUUCCGACGAUGCAAAUCUUGC
rnacentral:lncRNA from 1 species